rnacentral:rRNA from 1 species
UGAAGUCAGACAAGUGA